GAUGACGAGUAUGAAAAAAUUAAGAUUAUUUAUUAUUAUUAUUAAAUACGUGUUCUAUGUAUUUAUUGAUAUUGAUAAAUAUAUUCUUAAUUUUUCAAUUAUGAUUAUUUGAGGCAUUUGACU